ACGGGGUGCAGCAGGCGCGAAACCUCUGCAAUAGGCGAAAGCUUGACAGGGUUACUCUGAGUGAUUUCCGUUAAGGAGAUCUUUUGGCACCUCUAAAAAUGGUGCAGAAUAAGGGGUGGGCAAGUCUGGUGUCAGCCGCCGCGGUAAUACCAGCACCCCGAGUGGUCGGGACGUUUAUUGGGCCUAAAGCAUCCGUAGCCGGUUCUACAAGUCUUCCGUUAAAUCCACCUGCUUAACAGAUGGGCUGCGGAAGAUACUAUAGAGCUAGGAGGCGGGAGAGGCAAGCGGUACUCGAUGGGUAGGGGUAAAAUCCGUUGAUCCAUUGAAGACCACCAGUGGCGAAGGCGGCUUGCCAGAACGCGCUCGACGGUGAGGGAUGAAAGCUGGGGGAGCAAACCGGAUUAGAUACCCGGGUAGUCCCAGCUGUAAACGAUGCAGACUCGGUGAUGAGUUGGCUUAUUGCUAACUCAGUGCCGCAGGGAAGCCGUUAAGUUUGCCGCCUGGGGAGUACGGUCGCAAGACUG
rnacentral:rRNA from 1 species